CUCUUUUCCACGAAGUGACAGAAGUUAUGAAGAUAUGCUUUAAGUGGCUGAUUUGCCCAACUCCCUUAUUUUGCAGAACGUCCUGCCAUAUUUGAAACUUACACUAUAAAAUCUUAUAGAAAGACAGUUCCUGAGUGUUAGCCUAAUAAAGCCACAUUUUUAUCUCUUAUGGGUUUUAGUUGCUAUUGGACGUUUCCUUCCUGGCCUCUAAGGACAUGUGAAGAAUAUCAGAGGAAGUCCUCAUCAGCUGAUGUUCAGAGAGGUUCCUACUUCCUCAGCUUCCUUCACACGGCUCCUUCUCAAGACAGCAUCAUUAAUCUACAUUGUCCCUUUCUUAUCAUGACUCUGCCAGUUUCUUAUCAUGUUUCUGCUGCCUGUCCUGCUGCCAGAGUAUCUUCAAACCUAGUGCUUCAUAUCAGGGCCGCUAUAUGUGGUGGUGGAACAGCUCCAUGAAGAGAGAUGUAAGCAAUGCUUUUGUGACAAGCAGAGAGUCCGUGGGUCAGAACACUCAUUUGGGUAAUGAGAUAACAUCCCCAUCAAGUCUUAAAUAGGAAUUUCCAACAUUAGAGUCUUAAUAAUCAUGCGAUUGCUAUUAAUUUUUUGUAGUCUAUUUGGUGUUGUCCUGGAUGUGUUAAAUCUUUUCUCACCAAGAUGUUUUCAACAGGUAGAAUGGUCUUGAUGAUAUGAUUCAUUUGACAGCUUUUCCAGAAUCCUUAAAAAAUGAAAAACCCAAUUAACUCUGGGCUGUAUUCCAGUAAUAUAUCACACAUCACCAUUCUAAAUAAAUUUGAUAGACUUUAAGUAUAUGUAAGAGUC
rnacentral:lncRNA from 1 species